UAGUUGUGAUGUGCUCUAAAUUACUUUGAAAAUAAUAAUUGCAUAUAGGUUAGAUGUUUCUGUGAUUAAUCAGACCCUAACCUGAAUAAGGCAAGACAAGUAUUAAUUAUCCGUCUGAAUUUUAAAUUAAACUUAAAUUCGUUAUGCUCAUAAAGAAAAAAAACCAUUUGCUCUUUUCAACAAUGUUUUUCUUCCUUAUGUAAAAAUAAAAUAUUUUUUUACCAGAUAUACCGAAUUCAAAUACUUUUGGCAACGAUUCAGCCGAUACUAAAACUCACACAAAUAUUUUUAAAGAGGUAGUUGCGUUACAUAUGCUAAUCAUGAACUAAAAGCCAAGGCACAUUUUACAAUGAAAUUUCAAUUUUACUUUACCAUUCCCAAUGUUAUUUUUAGACUAUUCUUUCUAAAAUAUCUGUUAUUGUUAUUCCUGGUCGUGGACACAACAGUUGCUACUGAACCAUUACUGCAGUAAAAUUCAAUUAGUUUUUAAUAUUUUCCUUUAGCUGUUACUAAUAAAUUUAUUAUUAAUAAAAAUGGAUAUUGAAGAACAAAGCCUGCUUUAAACGCCGGAAAAGAAAAUGUCAGGUAUUUGACAUAGCUUUAUUUAUUUGAAAUUUAUUUUGUUAUUGCCCUUAUAUUAUUUUUGUCAUUACUAUUUAGACAUAAUAACAACAAGCACAAAUAUUUCAUACACUUACACACUCAUGGACACAUAAACAAACAGGGAGUAUACAAGCACAAAUAUUUCAUACACUUACACACUCAUGGACACAUAAACCAAACAGGGAGUAUACUUCUAUUUUGUAAUUAGUUCUUAUUGAUAAUUUUUUUCACUUUCUUUAGAAGGUGAACAAGUUCAGGAAACGCAGGAAGGUGAAAAAGUCGAGGUUGCGCAUGAUAGUAAAGAAAAAAAGGUUAAAAAAAUGGAGGGUGAGUAUUUUGUAGAUAAUAAAUAGCGUUUAGAUGGAGCAACAUUUUUUAUUAUUGGACACAGUUUUGGUAUUAUUAUAAAAUUAUUUUAUUUUAUUUUUUUCUUAUCUGUUUUGUUUUUGUUUGUUAUUUAGUUUUGACGUAUUCAGCUUAUGAGGAGUAUAGAAAGAAGCAUCCUGGCCCCCUGUCCACAAAAUCAUUCAAAUGGUGGAAAGCGCAUGGGGGUCAGGAUUUAGCCAAUUUUAAUUGGAACCAGUCAAAGAAACGUCAACAAAAGCAUAAACAUCGACGCACACAUACUAUUCAUAACCAAUAUAACAAUUGUACAUUUAAUAAAUAAACCAAUAAUUAUAAUAAACCAAAAAAAAUCUUUCUAUUCAUUUAUUUAAAUUAUUUAUUAAAUUAUUAAUCUUUCUAUUUAUUUAUUUAAAUUAUUUAUUAAAUUAUUAAUUAAGAUUAUAUUUCUUACAGUUUUUGACCAAGUAUAUUUUGAUGUUAGUUAUUACUCUGGGGUAUCCAAUAUUUCUACACAUUUACGCAAUUACUUAUUUUAUCAUGCAAGCUUUUUUUUGUCUAUUUAAUGUUUAAAUGUUCACAAACAGUGGAUUUGCAAAACAUGUUUAUAAC